AUUUUAAAAUUUUAAAAUUUGAAAUUUAAAAUUUUAUGUUGCAAUUUAAAAUUUAGAAAUUGAUACAUUUUUGGGAGUCCAAAAUGGUGGAAUUUUUUUCCUUUGGUUAGAGUGGAUUGUAAGUUUACUCCAUUUUUUGAAUUAUAAUAUAACUAUACUCUAAAAAUUAUGUCAUUUUUUUUUUUCUUCCAAACGCUUCAUAGAAUUAUUUUUCUACUAGUGUGCUACGUUUUUAGAGAUAUCCAAUAGGAUUAUUUUCCUACUAGCGUGCUACGUUUUUAGAGGUAUCCAAACGGGACCUUAAUCAUAUCCAGUUUCUUGUAAAUAUAUAAAGUGAAUUACAAAUGUAUUUCUAUAAAAUUUAAUAUUCUUAUAUUAUUUAUGUAAAAAUUUUAAUAUUUUUAAAUAUAUUCCUACCGUUAUGAUCCGUUAGAAAAAUUUAAUUAACGAUAGGAAAAAUAGUUAGUCCAGAUUAAUAAAUGAGAUAAAUUGAUAUUUUGACCCCUCUUAAUUAUAUUAUACCUUUUUCUCUCAACCAAAACCAUAGUAAUGAAUUUUUUUUUUCAUCUCUCUGCCUUUUCCUUUUCCGCUCUCUCUUUUAUGCUUUCCUAACUAAAAUUUUUCUGUCUCCAUUCAUACACAACGCGUGUUGUUUCGCCCAUGUCGAACGAGUGUUUCUUUUCUAUUUAACUUUUUCUAUGAUUUUUCUUAUUUUACUUAAAAGAAAAUAUUUAGAAGAAAAUGUGUGAGAGAAGAUGUUGCAAUAGUGAUGGGUUGGAUUAAAUUUUAAAAAGUAAUAAGAUGAGAAAGAAGAAGACCAUUAAAAUUAUUUUGGAGGGAUAUUUCUGCACGAUUAUAACAGUUGGGGCAUUUGGAAGGAUAUAUUUGUGAUGAUAAAAUUAUUAUUUCACUUACAUAUGGUUAAAAUAGGAAUAGUUCUUUAACAGUAAAAAAAACAUAUAGAGAUAUAUUUCUGCGUUCUCCGAUGAGAUCGCAAAAAAUAUAACAUAAUCGGCUAAUCACGAUAUGCGAAACGUAAUAUUAUGUCUAAAAAUAAACAAAAAUUUUUUAAUCGUCCUUUUAAGCCGCACGUAAUGUAAUCUCUCUAAAAUCUCAAACGAAGCUUUAGCCAUG
rnacentral:lncRNA from 1 species